ACUAGACAGAAGGGGUAAGAAGUUGCAACAUGGUGAACAAACAGAUAAGGACGCUGUGGAAACUGAAAAGUUGUUGGACUUCAAGGAAAAGCUCACGGAAAUAAAUCUACUGAGGUUGCCGAAACUGUGUGUGGCCCAGGAUGUCUGUGAACUGCAAAUGACUGGAGGAUGGGG